GAUUACACUGAUGAGUGUCCACACAGAUUGAUGGUUUAUACAGUUUAAGAGACGAGGAUGUUCCCAAACAUUCUUACUUAGUGUCCCGUUCGUCUAGAGGCCUAGGACACCGCCCUUUCACGGCGGUAACAGGGGUUCGACUCCCCUACGGGAUACCACUUCCGUUGUGAAGUCAAGGGGUCGUUAGCUCAGUUGGUAGAGCAGUUGACUUUUAAUCAAUUGGUCGCAGGUUCGAAUCCUGCACGACCCACCAUUUCUUCCACAAGAAAUGUGAAAAAACAUGUGGGGCUAUAGCUCAGCUGGGAGAGCGCCUGCCUUGCACGCAGGAGGUCAGCGGUUCGAUCCUGCUUAGCUCCACCAUUUCUUCCACAAGAAAUGUCAAAAAACAUGUGGGCGAUUAGCUCAGUUGGGAGAGCACCUGCCUUACAAGCAGGGGGUCACUGGUUCGAACCGGUAUCGCCCACCACUCUCUAAGGAUUUUUGGAUGCACAUUGCCAAACCAGAUUAAGCAAUUGAACUGGUUGGUCUGUUUGACCCUGAAAGUCAUUAGAAAGUGAUUUGUUCCGUUAGGAAUACCUCUCGCUCUUUAACAAUUUGGAAAGCUGACUGAUAACAACGAACGUGUUUGUUGUUAUCAAAUAAAAGUUCUCAACAUCAAURCGUUUAACGUAUUGAUACCAAACACAUUCAAGUGUUCUUGGGAAAGCUUACUACGGUAAGUUUUCAAAAUUGAGUCCGGCAAAAUCAAACGUCUCUCGCUCAUUCAAAUAAUGAGAGACAACCUUGGUGACUUGUCUGCAACACGAAACUUCUUCGGGUGA
rnacentral:tRNA from 1 species